CCCUUAGACGUUCUGGCCGCACGCGCGCUACACUGACCAGUGCAACAAGCAUCCGUCCUUGGCCGACAGGCCCGGGCAAUCUUUGAACGCUGGUCGUGAUGGGGAUAGACUUUUGCAAUUUUUGGUCUUCAACGAGGAAUUCCUAGUAAACGCAAGUCAUCAACUUGCAUUGAUUACGUCCCUGCCCUUUGUACACACCGCCCGUCGCACCUACCGAUUGAAUGGUCCGGUGAAGCCUCCGGAUUGGCGCGCACCUCGGUGCCGCCGAGAAGUUGGCUAAACCUUACCAUUUAGAGGAAGGUGAAGUCGUAACA
rnacentral:rRNA from 1 species